GAUCAUGGCUCAGAUUGAACGCUGGCGGCAGGCCUAACACAUGCAAGUCGAACGGUAACAGGAAACAGCUUGCUGUUUCGCUGACGAGUGGCGGACGGGUGAGUAAUGUCUGGGAAACUGCCUGAUGGAGGGGGAUAACUACUGGAAACGGUAGCUAAUACCGCAUAACGUCGCAAGACCAAAGAGGGGGACCUUCGGCCGUCCUUGUCCACUCAGAUGUGCCCACGAUGGGAGUUAGU
rnacentral:rRNA from 1 species